AGCAUGUGGUUUAAUUCGAUGCAACGCGAAGAACCUUACCUGGUCUUGACAUAUCUAGAAUCCUGCAGAGAUGCGGGAGUGCCUUCGGGAAUUAGAAUACAGGUGCUGCAUGGCUGUCGUCAGCUCGUGUCGUGAGAUGUUGGGUUAAGUCCCGCAACGAGCGCAACCCUUGUCCUUAGUUACCAGCGGGUUAAGCCGGCAACUCUAAGGAUACUGCCAGUGACAAACUGGAGGAAGGCGGGGACGACGUCAAGUCAUCAUGGCCCUUACGACCAGGGCUACACACGUGCUACAAUGGUAGGUACAGAGGGCAGCUACACAGCGAUGUGAUGCGAAUCUCAAAAAGCCUAUCGUAGUCCAGAUUGGAGUCUGCAACUCGACUCCAUGAAGUAGGAAUCGCUAGUAAUCGCGGAUCAGAAUGCCGCGGUGAAUACGUUCCCGGGCCUUGUACACACCGCCCGUCACACCAUGGGAGUUGAUUGCACCAGAAGUGGAUAGCUUAACCUUCGGGGAGGCGUUCACCACGGUGUGGUUGAUGACUGGGGUGAAGUCGUAACAAGGUA
rnacentral:rRNA from 1 species